AGUGAACGCUGGCGGUAGGCCUAACACAUGCAAGUCGAACGGCAGCACAGUAAGAGCUUGCUCUUACGGGUGGCGAGUGGCGGACGGGUGAGGAAUACAUCGGAAUCUACUUUUUCGUGGGGGAUAACGUAGGGAAACUUACGCUAAUACCGCAUACGACCUACGGGUGAAAGCAGGGGAUCUUCGGACCUUGCGCGAUUGAAUGAGCCGAUGUCGGAUUAGCUAGUUGGCGGGGUAAAGGCCCACCAAGGCGACGAUCCGUAGCUGGUCUGAGAGGAUGAUAGGCCACACUGGAACUGGGACACGGUCCAGACUCCUACGGGAGGCAGCAGUGGGGAAUAUUGGACAAUGGGCGCAAGCCUGAUACAGCCAUCCCGCGUGGGUGACGAAGGCCUUCGGGUUGUAAAGCCCUUUUGUUGGGAAAGAAAAGCAGCAGGUUAAUACCCCGCUGUUCUGACGGUACCCAAAGAAUAAGCACCGGCUAACUUCGUG
rnacentral:rRNA from 1 species